GACGAACGCUGGCGGCGUGCUUAACACAUGCAAGUCGAACGGAAAGGCCCUGCUUUUGUGGGGUGCUCGAGUGGCGAACGGGUGAGUAACACGUGAGUAACCUGCCCUUGACUUUGGGAUAACUUCAGGAAACUGGGGCUAAUACCGGAUAGGAGCUCCUGCUGCAUGGUGGGGGUUGGAAAGUUUCGGCGGUUGGGGAUGGACUCGCGGCUUAUCAGCUUGUUGGUGGGGUAGUGGCUUACCAAGGCUUUGACGGGUAGCCGGCCUGAGAGGGUGACCGGCCACAUUGGGCCUGAGGUACGGCCCAGACUCCUACGGGCGGCAGCAGUGGGGAGUAUUGCACAAUGGGCGGAAGCCUGAUGCAGCAACGCCGCGUGCGGGAUGACGGCCUUCGGGUUGUAAACCGCUUUCGCCUGUGACGAAGCGUGAGUGACGGUAAUGGGUAAAGAAGCACCGGCUAACUACGUG
rnacentral:rRNA from 1 species